rnacentral:piRNA from 1 species
UACCUAAGCUGCUUUUAUAGCCUUGAAGGG